AUGCAUGAUUUGAGCUUGGGAGGCGAAAUGUGCAUAGGAGAGCUGAGUUUCUGCCAUUCUGGGAGAAACCAGGUUCGGCCGCCGAAGGGACUUUCGGCCGCCGAACCCCCUUGUGGAGGCAGGCCUUUCGGCUGCCGAAGUUGCCCCCGAAAGGAGACUUUCGUCUCUUUCUGGCACUUUCGGCCGCCGAAGGUGCCGCCGAACAUGCAUGAGUUUCGCCUCUGUCUGGGAGUUUCGGCCGCCGAACCUGCCUGACUUUCGGCUCUGGAGGGACUUUCGGCCGCCGAACCUGCCGCCGAAAGUGCCCUGUUCAGCCAUUUCUUG
rnacentral:lncRNA from 1 species